rnacentral:sRNA from 1 species
AUAGCAGUCGUGGCUGCGGUCGACCGAC